AAUAAGCGCAGUCGUGGAUAUCCGUGUUCAACGUUUGACCGUCCGUCUUAUUUAAAAAAUUUAUUAAAAAAUUAAUCACACAUAAAGUACUAUUCAUGUUUUAUCAUCUAAUAACAACAAAAAUACUAAUUAUAAAAAAAUUUUAAAUAAGACGGACGGUCAAACAUUGAGCAUGAACAAUGCAAAACUGCACUUAUU
rnacentral:pre_miRNA from 1 species